rnacentral:rRNA from 1 species
UACAGAGGUCCCGAGCGUUUGUCCGGAUUUAUUGGGUUUAAAGGGUGCGUAGGCGGCCCUGUAAGUCAGUGCUGAAAUCCCCCGGCUUAACCGGGGUGGUGGCAUUGAUACUGCAGGCUUGAGUACAGAUGAGGUAGGCGGAAUUGACGGUGUAGCGGUGAAAUGCAUAGAUAUCGUCAAGAACACCGAUAGCGAAGGCAGCUUACUGGGCUGUAACUGACGCUGAUGCACGAAAAGUGUGGGGAUCAAACAGG